UGGCGCCGACAGAGGGAGGCGAGGCGGCGACGCGGAGCGAACCCCAAAAACGGCGUCCCAGUUCGGAUUGUAGUCUGCAACCCGACUACAUGAAGCCGGAAUCGCUAGUAAUCGCGGAUCAGAAUGCCGCGGUGAAUACGUUCCCGGGUCUUGUACACACCGCCCGUCACACCAUGGGAGCCGGUAAUGCCCGAAGUCUGUGGCCCAACCGAGAGGGGGGAGCAGCCGAAGGCAGGCCCGGUGACUGGGGUGAAGUCGUAACAAGGUACC
rnacentral:rRNA from 1 species